rnacentral:lncRNA from 1 species
GAGAAUUGACCAACUUUGACCAGUAUGAAUAGUCCAAUGCGAGCCCGCCACAUGUCCGCUCCCUUCCCACCCAAAAUUAGGGUUCAGAUUGGGAAAAAGAGUUUGCCCCUGCGUGUGCGAAAUUGGUUCUGCCCCUUUCGUUGGCGAGAACGCGAGAGAGAUCUCCACGGUUCUUGAAUUUGGUUCUGGGCUUUGAUAUUGCAGGUUUGAUUGUGGUGGUGCGAGAAGAUUAAC